rnacentral:lncRNA from 1 species
AAAUAUAUUUUUUAUUAGUUUUGUAAUUAAAAACUAUAAUUCUUUAAAUAAGGAUAAAAUUGUAAUUUGAAACUAUUUACUCCUAAUCCAAGACAAAGUAAACACAUAAAUUUGAUUCUGAUCUCUAUUCUAUGCUUCUAUUCCAGUGUAAGUAAACAACCUACUCCCACUCCCACUCCACACUCUCAAUCCUGUGAUUCCUACUCCUCAGGAUUCCAAAUCCAAUCCAAAAAGUAAACGCUACCUAAGUGUAAAUGUGGAGGAACUUACCUUCAUGACAAAAAAAGGGGGGAAAAAGAAAAGAAAAGAAGAGAAAAGAAAGAAAAGCGGUCUUUGUAAUUGUCUAUUGCUUGCCUUUCACUAAAUGGGAAAAUUGUGUUAUUGGCUUAUUGCAUUCCUUUGAAUGUUCUUUUGAGUUUAAAGGUGGCCAAUGGGCCGGACGACACGAGGCACGGCACAGGCACGGCACGUGUCCGUACAGCAUGGCACGGCACGAGCACGUCUCGGUAGACCACGCGGCACGGCACGAGCACGUCUCUAAUUCCGUACGUUUGCUUGCAAUUGCAUUACUAAUAUUAGAAGAAGAGAAGGGUCAGAGUCAUCGUCUCCACUCGUCUCCCUUUAGGCUUUAGCUUUUGCUUUCCUCCCUGUUUCUCUCUCUCUCUCUCUCUCUCUCUCUCUCUCUCUCUUCAAGAAGAAAAGAAAAGAAAGAACAAUAAAAAUAAAAAUAAAAACUUUGGUUUUGAUCUGACCUGAAAAUCUUAAGGGGUAUAUUUGGUCGUUCACUUGCAUUCUCUUUUUCUAUUUUCUUUUGUCUUUUUUUUUUGUUCUGUUAGUGAGUAGUGACAAUGUGGGUUUUGUUUCUCUAUUUUUUGAGAGUUUGGUGCUGCUUUCUCAUGUUAGUUUGUACACUUGAGUGUUGUUUUUUUUUUUUUUCCUUUUUCUUUCAUGAGCUUGAUGUUGUUUUCACAUGUUUCUUUUUUUCCCAAACUUUCUUUCUGUUUUAUCAGUUGCCAGUGUUUUCGCAUAGCGUUUUCAGAGUAUUCACUGUUACCAGCGUUUUCCUGCCUUUUCUUUCCAGGAGUUUUAUUUCUUUUUUGGAUUUUGAUUGUUGGUUUCUUUUUCUUUCUUUCUUUUCCAAAGUGUUUACCGAAAGCGUAAUAAGCACGCAAUAAGCACGUUUCAUUUUUUAAUGAAAGUAAACGUCAAAUUUUAUGAUUUUAUAAAUAAUUU